ACCUAUUAAUAGGUAUGCUUAGGGAGGAGCUUGCGUCACAUUAGUUAGUUGGUGGGGUAAAGGCCUACCAAGACUAUGAUGUGUAGCCGGGCUGAGAGGUUGAACGGCCACAUUGGGACUGAGACACGGCCCAAACUCCUACGGGAGGCAGCAGUAGGGAAUUUUCGGCAAUGGAGGAAACUCUGACCGAGCAACGCCGCGUGAACGAUGAAGUAUUUCGGUACGUAAAGUUCUUUUAUUAGGGAAGAAUAAAUGAUGGAAAAAUCAUUCUGACGGUACCUAAUGAAUAAGCCCCGGCUAACUAUGUGCCAGCAGCCGCGGUAAUACAUAGGGGGCAAGCGUUAUCCGGAAUUAUUGGGCGUAAAGGGUGCGUAGGCUGUUAAAUAAGUUUAUGGUCUAAGUGCAAUGCUCAACAUUGUGAUGCUAUAAAAACUGUUUAGCUAGAGUAAGAUAGAGGCAAGUGGAAUUCCAUGUGUAGUGGUAAAAUGCGUAAAUAUAUGGAGGAACACCAGUAGCGAAGGCGGCUUGCUGGGUCUUUACUGACGCUGAGGCACGAAAGCGUGGGGAGCAAACAGGAUUAGAUACCCUGGUAGUCCACGCCGUAAACGAUGAGUACUAAACGUUGGGUAAAACCAGUGUUGAAGUUAACACAUUAAGUACUCCGCCUGAGUAGUACGUACGCAAGUAUGAAACUUAAAGGAAUUGACGGGACUCCGCACAAGCGGUGGAUCAUGUUGUUUAAUUCGAAGGUACCCGAAAAACCUCACCAGGUCUUGACAUGCUUCUGCAAAGCUGUAGAAACACAGUGGAGGUUAUCAGUUGCACAGGUGGUGCAUGGUUGUCGUCAGCUCGUGUCGUGAGAUGUUGGGUUAAGUCCCGCAACGAGCGCAACCNUUNNNNUAGUUGCCANCACGUAAUGGNGGGGANUUUAGCA
rnacentral:rRNA from 1 species